rnacentral:rRNA from 1 species
GCAGUAGCCGCGGUAAUACGGAGGGUGCAAGCGUUAAUCGGAAUUACUGGGCGUAAAGCGCACGCAGGCGGUCUGUCAAGUCAGAUGUGAAAUCCCCGGGCUUAACCUGGGAACUGCAUUUGAAACUGGCAGGCUAGAGUCUUGUAGAGGGGGGUAGAAUUCCAGGUGUAGCGGUGAAAUGCGUAGAGAUCUGGAGGAAUACCGGUGGCGAAGGCGGCCCCCUGGACAAAGACUGACGCUCAGGUGCGAAAGCGUGGGGAGCAAACAGGAUUAGAUACCCGCGUAGUCCCUGUCUCUUAUAC